AGCUGAGUCAAUUAAGAAUUUCUUUUGUAAGCGAGUAUCAACGCACAUAUGAACAUACAUACAAACAUAUGUGAAUACAUAUAUACACACAUAUAUAUAUAUGAAGGUAUGAGGUGAAUAACACGAGAGUGAUGAAUAAGUGAAAAUGCAAACACACAGAUGUUUCUUUGGAAAUUAUACAAACCUACAGAAUUUUUUGCACUUUUUACAUAAUUUAGCUCACGCUGACAUACGCUCAAUCGGCAUAUAAUCACAGCUGUAACAACAAUGCACUGGCAACCAGCAGCAGGCAGCAGAUACUGUGGAGGUGACAGAUAUAUAUGUAUGUAGGUAUGAAUGUGCGUUUAGAGCGCGAAUAUUUAUUGGCAAGCACUUUGCUGGUCAAUUUGUUAGUGAUAGUAGCGGUGGAAUCGUUUUCACUACUAUUUGUCACUUUAGUAUGUAUGUACGCCAGUGCAUACAUAUGUAUAUAGUAUGUAUGGUCUUAGCUAAACUACACUCGCUUGACGGCUGAUUGGACUUUGUUUCCGAUUUUGUAUUAAUAUUUAUUGUCGUAGAAAAUUUUUACUCUGAUUAUUUUCUAUAUAUUUUUUCAAUUUUACGUUGACACUUGUGCCCUGGGAAUGUGUUAAAAUUUUAUUUUGA